rnacentral:rRNA from 1 species
UACGUAGGGACCAAGCGUUGUCCGGAAUUAUUGGGCGUAAAGAGCUCGUAGGCGGCUGUCCACGUCGGAUGUGAAAGCUCGGGGCUCAACCCUGAGAGGCCAUUCGAUACGGGACGGCUAGAGGUAGGUAGGGGAGAUUGGAAUUCCUGGUGUAGCGGUGAAAUGCGCAGAUAUCAGGAGGAACACCGGUGGCGAAGGCGGAUCUCUGGGCCUUACCUGACGCUGAGGAGCGAAAGGCUGGGGGAGCGAACAGG